CUUCUGCUAAAGGGGAAGGAAAAGUAUGGAAAUAUAGGGCAGAAGCCCUCCACUUUUCCUCUGGUGAGCAAAUGAUUACAGAGGGAGAAGGUAGUACACACAUUGGGGAGCUGAUAGCUGUCUGGAGUAUUUUUCAACAAGAAGCACAGAAUUCCUCUUUGGUCUGCAUCUACACUGACUCCUAUGCUCUGUACCAAAUGAUCCUAAUAAUCCAGCUCAUGACCCUGGCCAACCUGUUCUGGUGGACCUCUCUUACUAUAGGACUAGUAGCACUUGUGCUAAAACCCCCUCUGAAUAAAUAUGCAUGGGAAGCCUCUAGUGCUCUAGGGAAAGAGCAUUGGACAAAUACAUGCUGGAUAAUUCCAUCAUUCUAACUUUUCUGCCUCUCGGCAGCAGAAUUCUGUUGUGUUUACUUUUUCAGAAGAACCCCGAGGGACAUGAAGACCACCUAAUCCAUGAUAAAACUGGUAAUACUUUUCUGCAUCCUACCACAACCCCAUGGCCAGAAACCAGCUGAGUGGCCGUGGUCUGAACUAAUUGUGGUAGCAUGCAGAAAAAGUGAAAGGAUCUCUUUAAGCACAAAAAGGUGUGUACGCACCCAAGCAUACAGGAUUGUUGGCACAAUUACACAUUAACACAAACUGUAGAAGUAGUUUGGUUUUGGUCCAAAAAUACCGAAGCACUUUUUUUUGUUUUGUUUUGUUUUUGUUUUUGUUUUUGUUUUUUAAGUUUAAAGUAUUGAUUCAAAUACUGGAGUAGGACUUGAUGUUAAUGUUGUGACACCUACCACCCAACCACUGGUUACACUUAGCCCGAAAAUCUUUGGAAUUGGACCAUAUAUAAUCAGGAAAACUGGCCAACAACAGAUAUUGUUUAAUCUGUUAUGGUCUCUUAAACAAGUCAAAUUGCUGAUGCAAAACAAUAUCUCAGAAAUACAACCAGCUUGUUCACCCUUUUUGCAGACCUCUUUUCAGGGUUGGACAACCUGGCUGCGACAGUGGAACCCUCCUAAAAACCGGGUGCCAAGAGACGUAACUGGUCUUGUGGGGACAGGAUUGGGAAUCCUAAAUAGUAUUGAUUCAGAAGUAUUAAUGAAUAAAUUGGCUUCCACAACUAAAGAUUUAACCAAAAUACAACAACCACUGCAAUCGUCCUUAUCAGCCUUGGGAACACAUCAGUGGUUGCUAUCAAACAUUCUACCAAAUUGGGAAAAGAUAAAUGUAAAUAAUAGCAAAUUGAUAAUUGAUGGACUUAAUGCCACACAAAGCAACGUUUCCUUAGCUCUUAGCUGUAUCCAGGCUCAAUUAUGGAUGCAGUCAGUUGCUGCCUCAAUUAUAAGAGAAGAGAAUGGGCCCGUCAAAUUGAUGACAAAUGGCAAACUGUCAAUUUAGAGUCCUGUACCAUCUGAGAACAACUAGGGUUUAUCUGUGAAGGUAAUGCAAUUGUAGCUCAAGAUAUUUGUCUGGACACAGAACAAAAUAGCUGUCAUUUUGAUAUUCAUCCUAACGAGACUUCUGAAACAGUCCUUGUAUAUACAGACAAUGGGUGUGCCUGCUUCAGAACCGCUUGUGAUACUGUGUUUAUAGAAAGUACAGUAGUAGAUACUAAAAAUCAUUCAAAUUUUUGUGCUUGUAACUUUACUAAAAUUGCAGGAUGUGAUUUUUCUUUUGUAGCUCCAGUUACUUCACAUGAACUUUUAGAAUCCAAUCUCACGUUGAUUCACAAGCUACUGCCUACUCCCAUUGGGAUGAACCUUACUCUGGUAAAGCAAUUAUUACUUCAUCAAGAUCUAAUAGAGAUCCUAGGAAAAAUCAAGGGGAAUGGACAGAAAACUCUGGUAACUGUUCAUCAUGAUGUGCAAGAAAUACAUCGUGUUGUAGAAAGGGUGAAAAGUGAUGCUGAGCACAAGUGGUGGGAUACCCUUUUCGGGUGGUCACCCACCGCCACCGGUAUCCUGAACAAAUUGUGCCAUCCCAUUGUUGUUCUUCUGGUUUUAGUUAUGAUUGGUUUUGUUUUAUCAGUAAUCUUGCUUAUUGUAAAUUGGAGAAUGAUGAAACGAUGAACAAAAUUAACAUCUAUAAUUAAUGCACACCACUUGGCCGACAUCCUUUACACUAUAGAUGUUCCCAGGACUGUAGACACAAGAAGAUUAUAAGUUUUCGUGUUUUCUCUUUCUUUCCCUUUUCCUCUUCUCUUUUCCCUGCGACGUGCUGCCAACACUUGACGAGUCCUGAAGACUCCACGACGACACCAUGGAAUCCUGCUGAUGAAGAUCUUUCGAGGGCAAUCGUCAGUCACGGGGUGGUGUAAGAGCCCGUCUGAAGCCCCUCAUUUUCCAUUCUGCCUUCCGAUUGCCACAAGAAAGAAUCCCAUCCCCCACUGUAGUUCCGGCUUAGAACAGGACACAGCACAGGUGGAACCACUGAACCGUCACGCUGGCUGUUCCGAACAAGGCCUGGUAAGAACUUGGCAAGGACUUGGCAAGGACUUGGCAAAGACCUGACGUGGACCCAGCACGGGACAGCCUGAUGCGCGGCCUGCUUCUAAUCUCCGUUCUUAAGCCAAAUGAACUUUUGGGGUGACUCUCGCGGUCCUUCAUUGAAGACCCCUCAUCUGCCUCGUUACCACUGUGACAAACAAAGAAUGAGAACCCUCCUCCCAAGGACUGAGACUGAGACCCCUGCUAUAGGGAGGAGGGGAAAUUGGUGGUCUGACCACUAAUGACAUGACCUGUUUCCCUUCAGUGAUUCAAAUGGACUUAUUCUUCAUUGGAUUCGUCUUGCUUUGGUGGUUACUGUGGACUCACCUGUUCCCUCGGGGCGAUUACAAUGGACUUUCAUUAUUACACUUGUUCCCCCCCUCUCUCCUCUGUGGACUAUAAUUGGACCCCCAAGUCGACCAGAACUUCGAAGACUCCCCCGACACGACAGAUGGAUCCCCAUCGUCCGGAGCACUGAGGAUCUCGCCUGUGUUGGUAGCUAUUCCCAUAUCCCUCUUCUCUCUCUAUCCUUUUAUCUCCUUUCAGAUCCCCACUAUCGCGUUUACUGUUUUGGCCCCUAAUAAAGGUGCAUUUGUUGUGAUUAA